rnacentral:rRNA from 1 species
UUUUAGAAUUUAAUUUAAAGUCUAACCUGCCCACUGAAUAAUUUUAAAUGGCCGCAGUAUCUUAACUGUGCAAAGGUAGCAUAAUCAUUAGUCUUUUAAUUGAAGGCUGGAAUGAAUGGUUGAAUGAAAUAUUAACUGUUUCAUAAAAAUUAUAAAUAAAAUUUUAUUUUUUAGUCAAAAAGCUAAAAUAAUCUUAAAAGACGAGAAGACCCUAUAAAUCUUUAUAUUUAAGUAAUUUUAAUUAUUUAGAUAAAUUAAAUUAUAAUUAUAUUAAGUAUUUUAUUGGGGUGAUAUUAAAAUUUAAUAAACUUUUAAUUUAUUAUUAACAUAAAUUAAUGAAUUAAUUGAUCCAUUUAUUAUGAUUAAAAAAUUAAGUUACUUUAGGGAUAACAGCGUAAUUUUUUUAGAGAGUUCAUAUUGAUAAAAA